rnacentral:rRNA from 1 species
AUUGAACGCUGGCGGCAUGCCUUACACAUGCAAGUCGAACGGCAGCACGGGUGCUUGCACCUGGUGGCGAGUGGCGAACGGGUGAGUAAUACAUCGGAACAUGUCCUGUAGUGGGGGAUAGCCCGGCGAAAGCCGGAUUAAUACCGCAUACGAUCUACGGAUGAAAGCGGGGGACCUUCGGGCCUCGCGCUAUAGGGUUGGCCGAUGGCUGAUUAGCUAGUUGGUGGGGUAAAGGCCUACCAAGGCGACGAUCAGUAGCUGGUCUGAGAGGACGACCAGCCACACUGGGACUGAGACACGGCCCAGACUCCUACGGGAGGCAGCAGUGGGGAAUUUUGGACAAUGGGCGAAAGCCUGAUCCAGCAAUGCCGCGUGUGUGAAGAAGGCCUUCGGGUUGUAAAGCACUUUUGCCCGGAAAGAAAUACUUGGCCCUAAUACGGUCGGGGGAUGACGGUACCGGAAGAAUAAGCACCGGCUAACUACGUG